rnacentral:rRNA from 1 species
AAAAAGCGGAGGAAAAGAAACUAACAAGGAUUCCCCUAGUAAUGGCGAAUGAAGAGGGAAAAGCCCAAAUUUGUAAUCUGGCUCUUUCAGAGUCCGAGUUGUAAUUUUAAGAACUGUUUUCAGUGCUGGACCAUGUAUAAGUCAGUUGAAAAGCUGCAUCAUAGAAGGUGAUAAUCCUGUUCAUGAUAUGGACUACCAGUGCAAUAUGAUACAGUCUCUAAGAGUCGAGUUGUUUGGGAAUGCAGCUCAAAGUGGGUGGUAAAUUCCAUCUAAGGCUAAAUAUUGAUGAGAGACCGAUAGCAAACAAGUACCGUGAGGGAAAGAUGAAAAGAACUUUGGAAAGAGAGUUAACAGUACGUGAAAUUGUUAAAAGGGAAACAAUUGAAGUUAGACUUGUUAUUAUUAGUUCAACCUUUUUGAAAGGAGUAUUCUAAUGAUUAACAGACCAACAUCAAUUUUUGGGUGUUGGAUAAGGGUUCAAGGAAAUGUAGCAGUCUCUGACUGUGUUAUAGUCCUGAGCUUUGAUACAAUGCUUAAGAUUGAGGAAUGCAGUAAGCCUUUUAGGUGGAACAAAUUAUUGUUCUUCUUACUGAGGAUGUUGGUGCAAUAGCUUUAAAUGACCCGUCUUGA